rnacentral:rRNA from 1 species
AUGGGCGCGGUACCUCGGAACGCGUCGCGGCGGGUCACGCAGUACACCGACCGCCAGCCGCGGUCCUGCAGGAGCCUCCCCUGGUACUCUGCCACGGGGAUCGACGACACGAACGUGGCCGAGCUGCCGAACCGCUUCGGCAUCAGCGCCGAUGACUCGAUGUCGCCGAGCUGGUUGUGGUCGUCGUCCUCGAUCGGCGGCAGCAUAGACUCGUGCUCGCUCUCCCUGUCCGUCUUCUUCCCCAUGGUGGGCUUCCUCAGGAACAGCUUGAUCUUCUUCCUCCCGAGCCAGCCGUGGUGCUCGGUGGCGCGCGGCGGGCUGAACCCAUACAGAGCGGUGCGGCGGAAGAUGCAGCCCGUGCCGACGUACAUGGGGCCCUGCAGCCCGUCCAUGGCGCGCAUGGCGACGUCGAAGAAGACGAGGUUGUGGUUGGCGUACCGGUCGUUGGGGUCGAUGCCCUCGAACCGCUGCGGGAACUGCACGUAG